AUGUGGUUCAGCACAGAAAAGUCAAAAUCUGGUGCAGAUCUGCGAUGUGACGAAAUAAUGGAAACCAUUCCAACUGAGAACCCUCACUCAAUGCCUGCUUUUAUCAGCUCAGCAAAGGAACAUACCCUGCUGCAUGAGGACACCCUCCUCCCCCUCUACAGUGGAAAUAAAAAUCAUGAUGUGGUUGGCAUGGGAUUAUAUAUUAAUGUCACUAUUGUAUUCUAUUUUUUUUUCUAUUGUAUUUUAAUUUUCAUCUGUUCCAAACUUACAGCAUUACAUGUAGUGUAAUGCAGUAAGUUUGUAAUGUUACUUAAUGUAAUGUAUCAUAUUACAAAAUUUGUGACAAGAUCUGACACUGAGACAGUGUUUUCCCACAUGUAUUUUCUUGUGGCUCAUUUUUACUCUGAAAACCCGCUUCAUCUAAAAGACCAAACACUUUGUCCAAUCACAGCUAGUGACAUAAGGUCUGAGUCAGAAACUCUUUAGUUAUCAGCAUUCUCCUGUGAGUCUUGUGUUCCUUCAGGUCUGGAUCAGGCAAAGGCCUAAACACACUCAGUUUUGGAGGCUGCAGGGACACUGGCUCUCCCUUGCUCUCUGCAAACUACCUUCCUUUCUUUCAGCAGUUUGUCUGUUUUUGGCUUGAUGCAUUAAGUGCACUUACAGAAAUGCAGAGGGCUGCAGAUGUGCAGAGGAAAACUAUUCUGAGGGAAUGCUAUCCUGACAGAUAUCCUGACAAAGCCAGGUAGGCAGCUCCUCCACACUGCCAGCACAAGGGCCUCCUGGGCUCUCUGCUUACCCCAGUGUCUCUAUGCAGCCACAGGGUGGACAGGCAUCUCCAGAGCUGUGUCAGCAUAUUGCAGACCUGCCAUGCCCUCCACCAGUGCCUGUCUUGCUCUCAGAAAGCUCGGCAGCUGUGCUCUUUCAUCAGGCUUCUUGGCUAACAGAUAUAGUGGACCUGGGUAUCUCUAGGGGCUUAAACUAGGCACUUAGGUACUUUAGUCUUGCUAAGCUUAUGUGGUGGUAAGCUAGGGAUUUGAAGAUCAAAAGUUGAGAGUUAGACAGGAUUUAGGUAUUCAAGUCUUCUCUGGAUUGAGCCCUUUGUCUAACCUUUUUGGCUAACAUCAUUUACUGCUCAAGAAUAGGCAUCUCAAUAUUCUGUAGUCUGCAGUGGCACCCACAAAUUAGAAAUGGAAAAUACAUGAAAAGAAAUUAUUCCUAAAUACAUGUAUUAUACAUAGAAAUUAUGUGUAUACGUGUGUUUGAGCACCUUGAACAAAAUGAUUGAUUU
rnacentral:lncRNA from 1 species